GAAAUGCGAUAAGUAAUGUGAAUUGCAGAAUUCAGAGAAUCAUCGAAUCUUUGAACGCACCUUGCGCUCCUUGGUAUUCCGAGGAGCAUGCCUGUUUGAGUGUCAUGGAAUUCUCAACUCUAUUUGCUUUUGUGAAUAGAGCUUGGAUUUGGAGGUUUAUUGCUGGUACUUGUGAUCGGCUCCUCUUGAAUGCAUUAGCUCGAACCUUUGCGGAUCAGCUAUCGGUAUGAUAAUUGUCUACGCCGUUGCAGUGAAGCAUAUCAAUGGGCUCGGCUUCCAAUCGUCCUUUACUGGACAAUGACUUUGACCUUUGACCUCAAAUCAGGUAGGAUUACCCGCUGAACUUAAGC
rnacentral:misc_RNA from 1 species